UAAAGAAUUUCUUUUUGUGCCAUCUUUUUAGUUAUCUGGUUUUUGAAAACUAAGCAGCAAUUUUUCUCAAGUUCUCAAAAGCUGUCAGUAUCUGUAAAUCCCUUCUACUCAGAGAAAUACUCCACCUCCCCAUUCCCUCCACGUCAGUGCAGGACUUGUUAUACCACAGAAUAUUCUGGCUCUGCCUCCUCAACCUUUCUACGUGUUAUGUUUAUUUCCCGUUUUCUGCAGUGGAGUUUUAUUGGAGGCCAUUCCUUAUCACAGACUUGAAGAGCUGUGAUCUGCCAUCUACAAGCUGCUUCAGUCCCUGGUCUGCAGCACCUCAGCCCUCUGUACCUCCAGCUUGAGCCACAUUCAAGGGUAGGAGAAUACCAGUGAUGCUGAGGAACCUAAUUUAAGAAUCAGUGCCAAGAGUAAAAAACAUGACUGGCUACUCCAAUUACCAAAUGGACACUAUGUUUACGACUGGAAAUAACUAUGAGUCAGUUGAGAAAAACUGCUGUCUGUGAGUGACCAGAAAGGACAUGAUUUGAAGGGAAUUUUCAUUUGAGGAUCAAGGAAAGGACUUCCCCUCCUACUACCUAAUAAAAUACAAAAGGACUGUGAGAGAUAAAACGUUUUAUUUGGUAACUCCAUGAACUGUGCCUGUGCAACAUACCAACUACCAUAAAUAUUCUUAAUUCAGAAAUAACCCUAUACUGUUAUCCUGUCCUUCUUUUCCUUUGACCUCCAGUUCUGUGUUGGAGCCAGUCAUCCUGAGGAAAGUUAGUAAUUUUGAUUUUGGUUGUGUCAUUUGGACCUAUCUUACACCCUUGAUUUUAAACGCAGCUAGUGUUUUCUAUCGCUGUAUUUUCAAAAGACUUAUUUUCCUACCACUCAAUCCUCCUUCAGUACUACCUACCCUAAGAAUCACAUCACUGAAAAAUUACUUCCUCAUCAUGGGUAACAGUAAAUCACCCACGACUGAAUAGCUUCUAAUAGUUAACCCCAUUUACCCACACAUCAGGAAUAGAGAUGUGAACAAAUUUUUGCUGUCGAUUAUAAUAUCACCAACAGCAAAUAUUUAUUCUUAAUUAAUAAGAUCAUUCAAAAAGUUACUGUAUCUGAAUUCAAUUCAGAAGAUAUCCCAACACAUGUGUGGAGAGUAAUUCUGUCCUCCAACCACUGAAAUACCCUACAAAUGGUGUCUAGACUUGUUCUGAGUGUGACUGAGGACCAACAGCAUCAGUGUCACCCGGGAGACUGCAGAAAUGCAGACUCCACCCUUGGAGCUACUGCUUAUAGUCUGCAUUUUAACAAGCUCCCCAGGGGGAUUCAGGUGCACAUUACAGUUUAGGACACACUACUCUAGAGAACCAGUGUAAAAUUUGAUCACAGGGCUUUAUAUGUUAUUACAGAUUUCACUCUGGAUUUAAAAUAUUUGUCCCUUGUUCUUUUUGACACUCUGUAUAAUCUGAAACACACAAGUUAUUCAAUGAAUCAAUCUGUCACA